rfam:Saccharomyces kudriavzevii IFO 1802 unplaced genomic scaffold c2014, whole genome shotgun sequence.
AACAUCAUAAUUAUAUCGCGAAUGUACUACCACUACAUGCAGCUUUUUCAUAAGGUUGCAGGGAAUGGCUAAAUGUUCUAUGUUUUUCCCAUUUUUGGUAGUGCUGAAGCGUAGAUAGAUUGAACGUUGCUGGGCGCCUGAUGUUGAUCAUUUUGAAAUGAGGUAUUGGGAAUCAGCUGUAUCUACAUUU